rnacentral:misc_RNA from 1 species
GGUGCUUGCAGAAAUGCUUGCACGGCGGCGGCCUUAAAACGCGCCAAAUGGCACCCUUUGUUUAUGAGUACCGUUCGUUUCCUCGGUGGGCUUGCCUGCCACGAGGACCAACAAAAACCUUUGUAGUAGCAGUAUCUUCAGUAAAAACAAAUAUUAAAACUUUCAACAACGGAUCUCUUGGUUCU